UACGUAGGGUGCAAGCGUUAAUCGGAAUUACUGGGCGUAAAGCGUGCGCAGGCGGUUUUGUAAGUCUGACGUGAAAUCCCCGGGCUCAACCUGGGAAUUGCGUUUGGAGACUGCAAGGCUAGAAUCUGGCAGAGGGGGGUAGAAUUCCACGUGUAGCAGUGAAAUGCGUAGAGAUGUGGAGGAACACCGAUGGCGAAGACAGCCCCCUGGGUCAAGAUUGACGCUCAUGC
rnacentral:rRNA from 1 species